rnacentral:rRNA from 1 species
GAUGAACGCUGGCGGCGUGCCUAAUACAUGCAAGUCGAGCGAACAGACGAGGAGCUUGCUCCUCUGACGUUAGCGGCGGACGGGUGAGUAACACGUGGAUAACCUACCUAUAAGACUGGGAUAACUUCGGGAAACCGGAGCUAAUACCGGAUAAUAUAUUGAACCGCAUGGUUCAAUAGUGAAAGACGGUUUUGCUGUCACUUAUAGAUGGAUCCGCGCCGCAUUAGCUAGUUGGUAAGGUAACGGCUUACCAAGGCAACGAUGCGUAGCCGACCUGAGAGGGUGAUCGGCCACACUGGAACUGAGACACGGUCCUGACUCCUACGGGAGGCAGCAGUAGGGAAUCUUCCGCAAAGGGCGAAAGCUUGACGGAGCAACGCCGCGUGAGUGAUGAAGGUCUUCGGAUCGUAAAACUCUGUUAUUAGGGAAGAACAAAUGUGUAAGUAACUAUGCACGUCUUGACGGUACCUAAUCAGAAAGCCACGGCUAACUACGUG